ensembl:snoRNA
GACCUUCUGGUGUUUACCACAGACUGGGUUCAUAUUAUGACUGUAAAUUCACAAAGGCAAAGCAAACUUCCCCCAUAUAUACCUUAGCCCAACCUCUGUGCCUAGUCUAUAUUGUGAAUGGAGGGAGAGAG